rnacentral:rRNA from 1 species
CCAGAAAGCCACGGCUAACUACGUGCCAGCAGCCGCGGUAAUACGUAGGUGGCAAGCGUUGUCCGGGAUUUAUUGGGCGUAAAGCGAGCGCAGGCGGUUUCUUAAGUCUGAUGUGAAAGCCCCCGGCUCAACCGGGGAGGGUCAUUGGAAACUGGGAGACUUGAGUGCAGAAGAGGAGAGUGGAAUUCCAUGUGUAGCGGUGAAAUGCGUAGAUAUAUGGAGGAACACCAGUGGCGAAGGCGGCUCUCUGGUCUGUAACUGACGCUGAGGCUCGAAAGCGUGGGGAGCAAACAGGAUUAGAUACCCUGGUAGUCCACGCCGUAAACGAUGAGUGCU